rnacentral:rRNA from 1 species
GUGUCAGCCGCCGCGGUAAAACGUAGGGGGCGAGCGUUAUCCGGAAUCACUGGGCGUAAAGGGCGUCUAGGCGGUCCAGUAAGUCCUGCGUGAAAGCUCCCGGCUCAACUGGGAGAGCGCGUGGGAGACUGUUGGGCUAGAGACUCGGAGAGGGGUGUGGAAUUCCCGGUGGAGUGGUGAAAUGCGUUGAGAUCGGGAGGAACACCAGUGGCGAAGGCGGCACCCUGGCCGAGUUCUGACGCUGAAGCGCGACAGCGUGGGGAGCAAACGGGAUUAGAAACCCGCGUAGUCC